rnacentral:rRNA from 1 species
AGUGAACGCUGGCGGUAGGCCUAACACAUACAAGUCGAACGGCAGCACAGUAAGAGCUUGCUCUUACGGGUGGCGAGUGGCGGACGGGUGAGGAAUACAUCGGAAUCUACUUUUUCGUGGGGGAUAACGUAGGGAAACUUACGCUAAUACCGCAUACGACCUACGGGUGAAAGCAGGGGAUCUUCGGACCUUGCGCGAUUGAAUGAGCCGAUGUCGGAUUAGCUAGUUGGCGGGGUAAAGGCCCACCAAGGCGACGAUCCGUAGCUGGUCUGAGAGGAUGAUCAGCCACACUGGAACUGAGACACGGUCCAGACUCCUACGGGAGGCAGCAGUGGGGAAUAUUGGACAAUGGGCGCAAGCCUGAUCCAGCCAUACCGCGUGGGUGAAGAAGGCCUUCGGGUUGUAAAGCCCUUUUGUAGGGAAAGAAAAGCAGCAGGUUAAUACCCCGCUGUUCUGACGGUACCCAAAGAAUAAGCACCGGCUAACUUCGU